GUGGGGAAUAUUGGACAAUGGGCGAAAGCCUGAUCCAGCCAUGCCGCGUGUGUGAAGAAGGUCUUCGGAUUGUAAAGCACUUUAAGUUGGGAGGAAGGGCAGUAAGUUAAUACCUUGCUGUUUUGACGUUACCGACAGAAUAAGCACCGGCUAACUUCGUGCCAGCAGCCGCGGUAAUACGAAGGGUGCAAGCGUUAAUCGGAAUUACUGGGCGUAAAGCGCGCGUAGGUGGUUUUGUAAGUUGGAGGUGAAAUCCCCGGGCUCAACCUGGGAACUGCCUCCAAAACUGCAUGACUAGAGUACGGUAGAGGGUAGUGUAAUUUCCUGUGUAGCGGUGAAAUGCGUAGAUAUAGGAAGGAACACCAGUGGCGAAGGCGACUACCUGGACUGAUACUGACACUGAGGUGCGAAAGCGUGGGGAGCAAACAGGAUUAGAAACCCUUGUAGUCC
rnacentral:rRNA from 1 species